CAGCAGCCGCGGUAAUACGUAGGUGGCAAGCGUUGUCCGGAAUUAUUGGGCGUAAAGCGCGCGCAGGCGGUUUCUUAAGUCUGAUGUGAAAGCCCCCGGCUCAACCGGGGAGGGUCAUUGGAAACUGGGGAACUUGAGUGCAGAAGAGGAGAGUGGAAUUCCACGUGUAGCGGUGAAAUGCGUAGAGAUGUGGAGCAACACCAGUGGCGAAGGCGACUCUCUGGUCUGUAACUGACGCUGAGGCGCGAAAGCGUGGGGAGCGAACAGGAUUAGAUACCCUGGUAGUCCACGCCCGUAAACGAUGAGUGGUAAGUGUUAGAGGGUUUCCGCCCUUUAGUGCUGCAGCAAACGCAUUAAGCACUCCGCCUGGGGAGUACGGUCGCAAGACUGAAACUCAAAGGAAUUGAGGGG
rnacentral:rRNA from 1 species